rnacentral:rRNA from 1 species
GAUGAACGCUGGCGGCGUGCCUAAUACAUGCAAGUCGAGCGAACAGACGAGGAGCUUGCUCCUCUGACGUUAGCGGCGGACGGGUGAGUAACACGUGGAUAACCUACCUAUAAGACUGGGAUAACUUCGGGAAACCGGAGCUAAUACCGGAUAAUAUAUUGAACCGCAUGGUUCAAUAGUGAAAGACGGUUUUGCUGUCACUUAUAGAUGGAUCCGCGCCGCAUUAGCUAGUUGGUAAGGUAACGGCUUACCAAGGCAACGAUGCGUAGCCGACCUGAGAGGGUGAUCGGCCACACUGGAACUGAGACACGGUCCAGACUCUUACGGGAGGCAGCAGUAGGGAAUCUUCCGCAAUGGGCGAAAGCCUGACGGAUCAACGCCGCGUGAGUGAUGAAGGUCUUCGGAUCGUAAAACUCUGUUAUUAGGGAAGAACAAAUGUGUAAGUAACUAUGCACGUCUUGACGGUACCUAAUCAGAAAGCCACGGCUAACUACGUG